rnacentral:rRNA from 1 species
UGACAGGUGGUGCAUGGUUGUCGUCAGCUCGUGUCGUGAGAUGUUGGGUUAAGUCCCGCAACGAGCGCAACCCUUAUUGUUAGUUGCUACGCAAGAGCACUCUAGCGAGACUGCCGUUGACAAAACGGAGGAAGGUGGGGACGACGUCAAAUCAUCAUGCCCCUUAUGUCCUGGGCCACACACGUACUACAAUGGUGGUAAACAGAGGGAAGCAAGACCGCGAAGUGGAGCAAAUCCCUAAAAGCCAUCCCAGUUCGGAUCGCAGGCUGCAACCCGCCUGCGUGAAGUUGGAAUCGCUAGUAAUCGCGGAUCAGCAUGCCGCGGUGAAUACGUUCCCGGGCCUUGUACACACCGCCCGUCAUACCAUGAGAGUCGGGAACACCCGAAGUCCGUAGCCUAACCGCAAGGGGGGCGCGGCCGAAGGUGGGUUCGAUAAUUGGGGUGAAGUCGUAACAAGGUAGCCGUAUCGGAAGGUGCGGCUGGAUCACCUC